CAGGGAGCUCUGACAGCGUGCCUUGACGCAAUGUAGCCCUUGGCCCAGGAGGACAGGAAGACAGGGCACUGGCCCUUGCCAUGGGGUACUGGGGUCCUGGAGCCCACUUUCCCUGGGCCUUAGACGGGGACCUGGAGCUCCAUGGGGGAGACUCACUCUCCCAGGGACCUCAAUUUUCCCACCCAUCAAAGGAAAAAUAGGGGCUAUAAAGCACCUUAUACCUUGGGAUGAAAGAAGGCAGGGAAGCCAAUGGAUUGUUCUGGAAGACUGAGGCCCUCUUUCUCUCGCUCCCACCACCCCAGCGGCUCGCGUGCAGGCAGAACCCGCGGUCACUGCUACCCUGUCCAGCCUGAUUCCAUGGGAUCCCUGGCGGCGGCGCGUCCCCCUAGCUGGGACCUCCUGGGGCCAAGAGGCCGGGGGCGGCCCUGCGCCCGCGCUGUCCCGGAGCGCACCUGCGGGGUUGCAGCCCGAGGAGAAGGCGCGGUGCAGCCACGGGACCCCAGCCGUCGAGCUCCUGCCUCGGCCCCGCCUACCAUCAGGCUCCGCCCACCCACUAACCCCGCCCACCGUGUGCGGCCGGAUGGAUCUUCCUUCGCCUGACCCGAGCUGCUCAACCUGCACAUGGAGAAACCGAGGCUCGGUCUCAUCCGUCCUGCCUCUUGUCCCGCUCCCCCGCCUCCCGUCCGCUUCCCGCCUU